rnacentral:rRNA from 1 species
AUUGAACGCUGGCGGCAGGCUUAACACAUGCAAGUCGAGCGGAGAUGAGGUGCUUGCACCUUAUCUUAGCGGCGGACGGGUGAGUAAUGCUUAGGAAUCUGCCUAUUAGUGGGGGACAACAUUCCGAAAGGAAUGCUAAUACCGCAUACGCCCUACGGGGGAAAGCAGGGGAUCUUCGGACCUUGCGCUAAUAGAUGAGCCUAAGUCGGAUUAGCUAGUUGGUGGGGUAAAGGCCUACCAAGGCGACGAUCUGUAGCGGGUCUGAGAGGAUGAUACGCCACACUGGGACUGAGACACGGCCCAGACUCCUACGGGAGGCAGCAGUGGGGAAUAUUGGACAAUGGGCGGAAGCCUGAUCCAGCCAUGCCGCGUGUGUGAAGAAGGCCUUAUGGUUGUAAAGCACUUUAAGCGAGGAGGAGGCUUCUUUAGUUAAUACCUAGAGAUAGUGGACGUUACUCGCAGAAUAAGCACCGGCUAACUCUGUGCCAGCCGCCGCGGUAACAC